CGUAGUGCGGUCAGAUUUAUGGCGAUAGAUCGAACGAACAGUACCAAUGACGUAAAGAACACAUUUGGAAAAGUGUUUAUUCCCAACUAGAGUAAAUUAUACUCUCUCCUCCCUCACAUUCAUAACGGCACAGACUGUCGAAUAAACAAAGGAUUUAUUCUUCAUUGAAUUUAAAUGUAAGUAAAUAAAAACAAUCCACCGUUUGAAUUCACAGCGUUUUAUUUUGUUCAGUCGACUGAUGAUCGAUAUCUCAGUCGAUAACGUAGGAAGCUACGGGAUGGACGAUCGGAUUUCGAUUUCCAGCAUCGAUAAUUUCUUUGCAUGCGCUACAACUGUGGGUCAAACCAGUUUCCUGUCGAACGUGUCCCAGUGAUUGUUUAUCAGUGGUUAAAGUGUCAGAAGCAUGAACAUAACCUACAUCUACUGUUGUGUUUGGAAAUAAUAUGUAAUGCGUCAUCUCCAUUUCUUUGUACACUGUGGCGCAUUGGAAACUUUUGCCUUUCUGUGCUAGUACAAACCGGGCAAAGCCUGCGUACAACAGAUAGAAGUUCUGAGUCACGUAUUUGCCAGAAGAGAACAAGCGAAUUCGUGAGAAUGGUGAAUUGGAAGGGAUGUACAAAGAAGCAGCCAUGAAAUCUUGUAAGGCUUGCUGAGCAAAAUGUAGUCUGCGGUGUCUGACUCUUCCAGAAUUCUGCCUCUCACCUUGCUGUACUCAUUUUCAUCACUAAUUUUACGUCAGCUCCGAGUGGUGGUACAUCUGGUAACCGCAUGGUGUUCCUGAAUGCCAGAAAGCGUGCAGUGCAGGGGCCGCGGUCCAAGAACAGGCUACUCAAUGCCGAAAGCUAGGGACAUUUUAUCAAGUACAGGAAACGUUGACUGAAUUAUCGCGUUAUCAUUUUAUGAGCCUCAACGCACAAAUGAGCGGACCAAGACAUUAUUUGUAUCUAGCCACAUCAUAAAGACGAGUCUGAAUCUUGUAGUCUACCGAAGUCGAAGAUAAAAAGAAAGGUGUACGGACAAGGAAUAAGAGAAAGGAGCGAUGGGGAGAAUAAAAUUUCAAUCUUCACAUUUAUACAUCCUCUUUGUCUAAGGUCAACAUAAAUAUUAUCUUGCAGUACAGACCGAGAUCUCCCAAGCGAUCUUCAAUUCCUCCAUGUAAAUCUUCCAAAUGCCAGAAACUAUUUCAGAUUUUAAUCUGUAGACCUACUGUGUCUUACUUUCUUGAGAUUAAAUAUUUCUAUAUGAAAA